rnacentral:lncRNA from 1 species
UUGGACCAGAGACCAUCUGACAUAACAUCAGACAACAGGGAGUUUCAGGUAAACUUAGAUUUCACUUAAAUCCAAAGUCCUCAUUUUAUAGAUGAGAACACUGAGGUCCAGAGAGGCUGAGUGACUUGUCUUCUGAGGUGGAUAAAAUCAGUGGAAUAGCCUGUUGUGAUCUCCAGGUGUGACUGUUCAUUGGGUCUAGAGUUGGCCUCUAUGAUUCUCUAGUUACCUUUUAACCCACUUUGCUAUUUGAGGUUUCAAAUUAUAUUUUUGAUGUUUCUGGUACAGGGGGCAGCAUCUUCUACUAUGUGCAUCUACAUUGGAUGGCAGUGGAGCAACACAGAUUGUUUUCUGACAAAAAUCAGCCAAGUACUAGGAGAGGCAGGACUUUAGAAGUGGAGGAGAUGGAGAAGGAAGCUUAGGUUACUAUGGAGUGUGCAAAAAGGUCCUGUGGAUUUAGAUACCACCACACACAAAUGCUGUUGUUGGAAGGUACCUGCCCAGAUAAGGACUGCAUUUCCUCUAGCAUCCAGAUGGGACCAAAUGACUGCUGGCCAAUAGAAGUGAGUGGAAAGGACUGACUCCAGUUCCAGGUUGGGCCUCCAACUGCUCUGGGCACGUCGAUGGAACAGAACACCACCUCCACCCCAAUACCACCAAUUCAACUUUACAUGAAUUAUAAGCGAGAAAUAACUUGGACUGUGUUAAGUCAUUGAGUUUCUGGGGUUUAACUGUUAUUAUAGUUAAGAAUGACUUUAACUAAUAUAGUCAAUGACAUCUAACUGGAGUUAUGAAAUUCAAUUUCUACUUAGAGUAAUUGAAGCAAAGGUUGUGGGGGAGGGGAGGAGGGCAGCACACCAUGAAAUCAGAGAUCCCCAGUACGUGUUAGUUCAUCAGUCAAUCAGUCUUAAGGUCAGGGUGUAGUGUGGGCAGCAGUUGCCUCCCUCUCCCCACAGAACACCCUGAGAAUAGGAAGUUAGAGUAGUCG